GGAAGAGAAACAUAACCGACUGUAUAAAUACUUGGGUGCCUCAUCUUUCACAGACAUCUGUGGAGUUAAGAUACAGUUACAGUUUCAAGACAGAAAGAUUCACAUUCUGUGGACAAACAGAACAAUACAAAAAGUUUUUUGCAGUCCUAUGUAUUAGAGAGUUGUCUAUUUCUAACAGUAACAUUUAUAACAAGAUACAGGUCCUUAUGCAAAGGUGUACCGUGCCAGCACAGGCGCUGUUUGUCACCGCUGCCUUUCUGGAACAGUAAUGCUGCUGAGUCCUCCAUUUCAGCCUUUGCCUAAACACAACUACUGUCAGGUAAUAAGAAGGAACAGAAAUCGGAAUAAGAUCAUUAUGAGAACUAUGGCAUGGUAAAACUAUGGUAACUUUUUUGUUUAAAAGUAAACAGUCAUGAACUAGAAGCGCUAGACUGUCUUACGAUUAUACCUUUCAUUCCUAUAUGUCAGUGGAACUUACACAGUAAUUAAAUAUUGCAACAUUUCAUGGACAAUUACUUCAGCUGAAGUACAGAAUAUGAGUUUUUUGGGGAGGUUAACCCUUCUACAGACAGUGACAAAAUCCCUGAUGAGAUGAGAAUCCUCCCACCUCUAUUAGCACCUUCUCCGUUACAUGCAGGGAGGAGGCUGUGAAUGCACACUGACAGCUUUUGAGUUUAUACAGAUUUUUUCCUCUAUUUCCUACAGCAUGUAUGAAGAAGAUAAAGUGCAUCAUAUAAUGCUAUAGAUAACUCAGUUUAUUUUUUCUUUUGGAGUUCCGAAUUCACACCAUGUUUGUGGUACCACUCCAUUUAAGACAUGUUUACAGACAGUCUGCCAGACUCUAAAAGAAUGGACUGGUUAUGCAGGGUCUGGUCAGGUUAUCCUGAAAGCACUGACCUUGGUCCAAAACAAACUUCACAUACUCUUAACUUCUGCAUUAGAAUUGAGAGCUGAUUCCAUUGCCAGUCUUACCACUAUCAUACCUUAUAGCCACUAGAAAAUCAUUCAAACAAUGUGGCUACGUUUCUCCAUAUUUAAAAGCAAAGUGUUUAUUCUCACCUCUCCAGCAGGCAAAGAUUUACAGGAUUAGUCAUUUAAUAUUUGUGUAAAACAAAACGUAACAACACUAAACAACUCCCACACAAAAAAGCCACCCACAACAAACAGCAAAAAACACAAACCCACAAACCCUUAACUUCCAACCAAAUGCAACUACGUUAUGGAAGUAUCUGCGCUUUAAAGAUGGUUCUAAUCAAGAGUGGUGUUUCCAAAAGCCUGGCCAGAAGACCGACUUUUCUUUGAAGAGCGUCAUAGGAAAAAAAUGUCCUUUUCUAGCACCUCAGCUCACAGUAGAAUCAGUACCAUCCAAAUGUUGAUUUUGUGCCCUGAAAAAGUGUUAUUCUAGGCCACGAGGCACCAUCUUAUAGCUAACUAUAAUAUUUAUCCUUAACGGAGUACUUAAACAAGAAACCCAAGACUCAGCAAAUGCUCAGAAAUGUUCACUGCUACCUUUCUUUACAGUGCAACACACUAGACAAAAUGCUUUCUGGAAUUGCUUAUACCCUGUUCCUUUGAAAAUCCUGUUCUAAAAAUACAUCUUUAGAAAGCACAGAGAGUGGUUUGCUUUUUCCUUAAUGCACUGGAUGCCAGGCUGAAUGAUAGUUACUAGCUUCACAUGCCAAAAAAAAAAAAGAAGUCAUGGAUAACUGGACGUUAAAUUCCAGGAAUUGUGAUGCAAUCGGCUUCUUUCCAAAGAAGCAUGUGUGUGUGUCGGGGGAUCAAUACGCGCCUUUAUUUCAAAUUUUAGGUUUGCUAAUUGUACAGUUUGGAAGAUAACCAGAUUUGGGGCCUAGGUUCAGCUUUACUGUUUAGGUUAAAUACGAGACACUGAAAUAAGUGGAGACCUCCUCUGUAGUUAGGAUAAUAUAGUAAGACUACUCAACAGCUACAGCACUGUCCAGGACAGGAACAUACAUCAUGAUGUACUACAGAAAGACACUGAAAUUUCAUUAGGCACCAAAACAAACUGAUUACAGAGAUUGCAUGUUUUAUUAUUUACUGGAAGGGCUUUAAUGAGGUAAAAUACUAAUAAGGCUUGGCUGGACCAAUCUCCUCUGAUGACGUUACCAACAUUUUACAGAUUUUUCCAGUAGUCUCGAUUCAUAAUAUCAUUAGACCAAAUUAUGUUAAUUGUGUCAUUAUGCAAAUUACAGUAGGGGAAAAAAAAUUGUACCCAAAUCCUACAGUAAGAAAACAGCGGGUUGUAACAGAUUACAUUCUAAUAGCUAGUAAUAUAGACAGGAAAGGUCAGGAUGAAAUAAAAAAAAUUUUAAUUAUUUAACUUGCAAAUUCACCAGCUAGAAAGACCCCACGGCUUCUCAAAAUCUGGCAUGAGGAGACACAGGAACAGGAGAACAAUCUGAAACCUGAUUCCUCAGGACAGUCAGCUCUCAUGCAGACACGAGUAUCUUUUUGGGAGGUAGCCUGAGACUGUGAAAUUAACUCACUUAUCACUCCCACUGCAAAACACCCUGCCUGUGAGUGAACAAACUUGAAGGUAUAGCAGCAGCAAUUUAAACAAAGCAAAACAAAAAACCAACAAAGACUGAGAAGUAGAACUGCUAAAUCACAAAACUACCUUGCACAUAAAACUCCACAGAGGACAACAAGAAAAAAGAACGUACUGCAUAUGACAAAUUUAAGCUACAGCGUAUUACUAUACUCCUAAAGAUCAGUGCUCCCAAGAUGCCAAAGAAUUGCGGAAUGGUUGAGGCGGGAUGGGACCUCUAGGUCCAUCAGGUCCAGUCCUCUUAGCUCAAGCAGGAACACCUACAACAGGCCUCCCAGGACCACGACCAGAUGGCUUUUGAACAUCUCCAAAAGAUGGAAACUCUACAACCUCUCUGGGUAACCGUUCCAGUACUCCAUGACCCACACAGUAAAGAAGCACCUUCUGAUAUUUGGAUGGAAUCUUGAGUUCCAGUUUGCAUCCACUGUCUCUCGUCCUGGCACUGGGCACCACUGAAAAGAGCCCAACUAUGCCUUCUUUGCAACGUCACAGGGUAUUUGUAUACCUCGUUUCACUCUCCCUUGUGAUUACAUCACUGUGACCAGCACCAGAGGACAGCACAGCAGAACAAAGUUGUGUGGCUCAGUACCAGUAAUAUAUCAGUGUGAUCCUUGUUUGUCUUCUUCCCCACACAUCCAAGCUUUCUUCAGCAAGAACACAGAACACAGUGAAACUUAACUCUCAAAAGUAAAGUCUGAUUUUAUUUUAUUUUUUUUAAUACUAUGACAAAUAUAACACUGAUGGCAGUUCAGUCAGGCAAAAUUUAGAAAGGCAGCAGGAAAGGAAAGGAGGUAAUACACCUGCAGAUGCCAUGAACCUCUGACUGGGACUGACAGCCAGGGAACCUUUAGGUCCAACGAAACUGAUGCAAAACCGUCUGCUGAUUUCAGCAUGUGGAUGGGAUCUUAACACAGAUCCAAAAAUGAAAAGGGAAUCUGUGGAGGGACUGCAAGAAAGUCAAAACUCUAUGUAGCAGGACUCCAUUCGCAGGUAAAAAUAUCUUAGAGGCCAGUUUAAGUUUCCUCCAUUUUGCAUGCAUUUGCUGAGCUGUAUUUUACAACAUAUAGCAUCACAAAAAUAAAAUGACAACAGUUGUAGAACACUGGCAACCUUGCUCUAGUCUAAACUGCUACCAUAGAUGAUUUGCAUCUGCUAGAAUUGUUGGUAGAAGUAAAUCUGUUUUUACACGAGCCAUCUGAUGUGUUUUGGAUUGCUACUGACUACAGUAAUUUCCAUCUUUCCUUUCCACAGCUCAAUUCACUAAACUAAAUUCUAUUUCCCGUUCUUCACAUUAUUAGGCAGUAACAGAUGCUACUGCAAUAAAUUUAAUAGCAGCAUAAACAUUACAUUCAGCUAUGUACAAACACACUCUAAUGAUAUGACCUCAGGAAGCCUCGAGAAAGAGAUCACAUGCUACUGACAGGGACGAUACUCAUUUGUUUACAGAGAACAUCGACUGUGGACAAAAUUAGGCAAGGCAACCUCCAGGGAUGGAGGCUGAGAACAACAGUAAGAGGUGAAAAUCACAAUAAUGGAAGCACAGAGUCAUGAAAUUAUAUGGAUUUUUCCAUUAUAGUAUGGGUUUCAACCACCGCAUUGUUUCAGCCCUGAAGAUGCAUGGCAGAUGUAGCAAAGGAGACCAAAUCACCGAGUCAAUGAAAGGUGAGACCAGAUGCACAGCUUGAUAAAAACAUAUUAGUGUGCACCUUGCCUUGUACAGAACCAUUAGUCUCCUGUACUAAUUUAAUGGGUCCAUAUCAACAUAGCUCAUAAUUUCAGAUAAGAUUUAGUAUUCAUAUCACAACUGACAAGUAUCUUUUUUUUUUCCCCCAAAAAAAAGUCUAGCCCACUUAAGGAAAAACAAACAAACAAACCUUUCCACUUUAACUAAGUAGAAAAUGUUAAUACACAGUCAAGAUAAUAUAAUGUUAUUAUUAGACUACUCCAAUUCUGUUCAGUGUCUUGAGGACACUGCGGCAGGAGACUGGCAACUACCUCCCCCAUCACUCAGAAACGUGCUGUUUCUCACACAAAAUAGGGUUCCUUUUUUUCUUACAUUAGAUGGAAAAAGGUAAGAUCCAAAAGAUACAUGAGAGGCUAUGAAAUCAUCCAUCUGCAAGGCUUCUUUUUAAAACAGAGUGUCACGGAGUUAUCUCUAGAUCUAUCUGUG